rnacentral:lncRNA from 1 species
UAGACGGACAUCUAACUUUCUUCCCCUUCUUAUCACUCAAUCCUUCGAGAAGAGGUUGAUUUUUCUUGCUUCUGGUGUGAAUUGCUUCUUGCAUACACAAGAAACAAAAACCCUAAAAGCACUUUUAUAUAAAAAAAAUAAAAAUAAACAAAAAAAAAAUAUAAACCAAGUCAAAUAUAAUCAAAUUCACACUACUUGAAAAGUUAAACCACGAGUCCCCGACAAUGGCGCCAAAAACUUGUUUACACCCUAGCAAGUGUACCAGAUCGUAUCAAGUAAUAAAUAGAUGGUAAGUCCAGAUAUUGUUUCCCAAAGGACUCAGCGGCC